UACGAAGGGGGGCUAGCGUUGCUCGGAAUCAUUGGGCGUAAAGGGUGCGUAGGCGGCGCGGUAAGUCGGGUGUGAAAUCUCGGAGCUUAACUCCGAAACUGCAUUCGAUACUGCCGUGCUUGAGGACUGGAGAGGAGACUGGAAUUUACGGUGUAGCGGUGAAAUGCGUAGAUAUCGUAAGGAAGACCAGUGGCGAAGGCGGGUCUCUGGACAGUUCCUGACGCUGAGGCACGAAGGUCAGGGGAGCAAACGGG
rnacentral:rRNA from 1 species